rnacentral:rRNA from 1 species
GACGAACGCUGGCGGCGUGCUUAACACAUGCAAGUCGAACGGCAAGGCCCUGCUUUUGUGGGGUGCUCGAGGGGCGAACGGGUGAGGAACAGGUGAGUAACGUGCCCUUGACUUUGGGAUAGCUUCAGGAAACUGGGGCUAAUACCGGAUAGGAUCUCCUGCUGCAUGGAAGGGGUGGGAAAGUUGAGGCGGGUGGGGAUGGACUCGCGGCUUAACAGCUUGUUGGUGGGGGAGUGGCUUACCAAGGGUUAGACGGGUAGGCCGCCUGGGAGGGUGGACGGGCACAUUGGGACUGCGAUACGGAGCAGAGGCCUACGUGAGGCAGCAGUCGGGAAUCUUGCCCAGUGGUCGGAAGCGUGAGACGGAGGCGCCGGGUGUGGGAUGCCGUCCUGUUGGUAGAAAACCGCUUCCGCCUGUGACGAAGCUGGACUGACGGUAAUGGGUAAAGAAGCACCGGCUAACUACGUG